rnacentral:piRNA from 2 species
UCCAAAGCCAAAAUGAGUUACAAAUUCAACC